CCAGGACUCCAAAGUGGGAACAGGUGCUGAGGGUGGCACUUCCAACACAGCUGGGUGUGGUUAAUUUAAAGGACAAGCUGUGGAUGCACUUAAAGAAACGUUGCACGUGAUGCAAAACUUUUCACUUGGUCACAGACAAAGUUGACUUUGACAUUGAUACAUUCAGUUGUACUUGAGAGACUAUUUUAUCUGGCAGAAUAUUUCACAGGUGUAACAUUUUACAAUGUAAUUCAGCCAGGUUGCAUGACUCAUUUGAUAAUUAGUGAGAGAUCUUUCAGCAGGCCCAAACAAGGACCCAGGAACUAAUACCUUCCAAGAAACUUCUUAUUCACCUCCUAAGGAUUAUAUACCAAAGGAGUGUCUGACCAUGAGCAGAAACAUCUGGCAAUUGCCAUUGCAAGGUUUCUGCAGAGCCAUAUUAGAGACAUAAACAAUUAAUUUCAUUAGAUUUUGCUGUUCAGAAAAGAAUCAUAUAGGAAAAUGAACCGGAGUAAGAAGAGGCAAGUCAUAAAAAUUAUACUGUUUGCAUUUCCAGCUCCAGUAUGAUUGUGCAAGAAAUUGACUAAGGGACCUGUUGUAAAACAACGUCUGGUGUCAUGGAAAAAGGGAAAAAAACCCCAAAUCUUUGUAAAAGUUUCUGUCCCCCUGCAGUGCCAUUGUCGUAGGCAGAGCAUACACUGAGAAAUUAGUCCUGGACUUAGGAGGAUGGAAACACACUCCAUCAUUUCAGGAUGGGCCACCUCUGACUUGCUCCACCUCAGAUCCUGCCUUAUACUCUUAGACUAUCAUGGCUUCAGAAAAGAACUUACAAAUAUCUGGGAGCCACUGCUGGCAGGGAUGGGGGAGUUUCAGCAAUGCUGUUCCCUGCCAGAACACCCUGUCAUUUCCCAGACAAAAAUAAAAAAUGUGCUCCCUGGAAGAGUACUCUAAAGGGAAGCUGGCCCUCAUGUUCACCACAAUUAAAGAGCAGGCUUGUACAAGUAUGCUCUGGGAUUAUAAAAGAACAACCUUGCUACUUCUAUGUCUCUAGUUCAAAGAUGCCAAUCCUGCCUCCCUUUGCUGGAAUAAGGCUGAUUUAGACCACAAGAUACAGAUUGUUACAGAAAAAUUGCCAACUUCAGGACAAAGGGACAACAAAACAUUGUUUUUAAAGAGACAGGUAGAGUUUUGAGAAAAAAAAAAUCAACCUUUUCCAGUCAUCCACCCCUGACAUUUUACAGUAUGUGAAAAGUUAGUCAAUUAAAGAAAACAAAAACUUAAAAAGAAAGAAAAAAACCAACAAAACCACAAUAUUUUUUUUUUUUUCUUCACUAAACACUACAGCUGGAUUUACUAAAAUUAUAGUUGAGACCACUGGAAAAUUGCUAGGGUGAUGAAACAGCUUGUAUCAUAACCACCACUUUCAUUCUGCUCUGUGGUUUAAAAAUGCAUCUGAUUUACUCUCUAGCUUUUCUUGUCUGAAAAACGUAACUGUACAAUCCUUAGUGGUUACAACUAUAGCUGAGUCAUUCUACUUUGCCACAGCUGACAUCCUUCAGAAAGCUCCCACCGUGCUGUCUGGAGAAUGAUUGGACAUGCUUUGGCUUCUAGAUGACUGUCCCAUGGAGGGAGAUCAUGUACAUCCCCAAAGCUUGAAACUGUACAGGGAGCUCUUUAUAAACUAGAGAUGAGAAAGGCCUGCAAAAUGCAUGCAAGGAGUGUCUAAACACAGUAACAGGAAAUGCAGAAAAGUAUUCACCAGCCAUUAGACUCUUGCCAUCAGAGACUGAUCUGGACAACAGGCUGCUUCCUGCACACCUCAGCUUCUCAGUUCUCAUUGAGAGAGGAUUCACUGGCUGAUUGUUCAAAUAGGAAGGAAGAACAGAUGCAAGAGAGCAAAACUGGGAGAAACCUGAAGUUUAGACAAGGUCAAGCAAGAAUGUAAAAUGGGUUGGAAAAAGGUGGAGAGGUGGAAAGUCUGCCAAAUAAACCCUCUAUAACAACACCA
rnacentral:lncRNA from 1 species